GACACCAUGGAGCUGCCAUCCUAGCCCUGAAAUGUUUCUCUCCAGACUGAAGUAAAUCAGUAUAUUGUUUAAGGCACUAAUUUUCACAUAUUUGUUACUCACAGCCAAAUCUAAUCCCAAUUGAUGCAAAAGAUGUUCUUAAUCAGUGCACCUUAUUUCAUUUGAAUUGAGAAUGCUAACAGCCUUUUCUCUGUGAAUAUACAGCCUGAUACCAUCCUGAAACCAGAAAACAAAUACUAAUAGUCUUUGAGUCAUUAUACAUCUUUUGCAAGUUUAAUGCUGCUGUUACAUAAAUGAUAAAUCUAAAUCAAUACAAAUGUUUUUUAUGAAGAAUGUAUUCAUUUUUCCUUUAACAAUGUUAAAACGUAAAGAUAAAUAUAAAAAUGAAUCUAAUAUCUUAUGUCAACUCUUUAUAGAUUCAUUGUAUAACUGAAUAGUUUAACACCAUUUUGGAUGAGUCAGCUCUCAACAAGCUAGCUCUAAAAGGUGAAUUAAUCUAAUCGUUCUGUCAAUGCUUAUACAUUUUAUGUUAAUGUUGGAAGGCUCUUCCAUGGAAGUAUUAUGUUCUUAUUUUCAAUUUGCUGGCAACCCUCCUGAGGAGGUAAUAGAGUUUGCACCAAUGACAAUGAAUGAAUGAAAAAGCUAGAGUUUGGGAAUUUUUGAAUUAUUUAAAAAGAAUGAUACUGCUGAGACUAUAACCAAGUUGAACCCAGAAAAGUUACCUUCUCUCUCUUCAUAGAUGAUGAAAAUAUGCAGACUAACAUCAGUGAAGGAUACAGCAUGAAUCCUUCAACAGUGUAGACGGGUUUAACUUAUGUCUACAACAAAUGGUCAAGUGAAGUUGACAAAGCACUGAUUUGACUGAAUUUAAUGAACAUUUCUAGUACAUAAGUGACUCAUUAUCCAUUCACCCACCCAUCCAGCGUACUGUGAGUACUUACUAUGUGCCAGGAAAAAUACUAGGAGUUAAGGGUGUAAGGAUAAAUAAUACAUGAAGAAAGGCAAAUAAUACAGUGUGGCUGGAGGAGAAGGUACAUGGGAUCAUAGAUCAAGAGAUUUUUCUAUUCAUUCAUUCAGCCUACCAUUCAAGCAUCCAACAAUUACUGAAUAUCUGCUGUGCACCAGGCUAGGAGCUGUGGCUACAGAAUCAAAUUCAAGCAUAAAUUUGUCCUACAAAGUAUUUAAUUGAUUAGAAGGCUGAAUGUUACAUGUGUAGUAGCUAAAAUAUUGUCUAUAAAUGAAGAGGACUUUUUUAUCUGGAUCUAACUAAAAAUAUUAAAUCCUAUUACCAAUCUCCAAAGGAAAAAUUCCCCAUCUAACUGGAAGCAGACAAUCUUUGCUCAGCAAGGUUCUUGGAACAUAUGUGCAACAAUGAUAACAAAUUAUUAAUAUUAUCACUCUUGGGUAAGGCCAAAUUCUUCCUGUACAAAUAUGCCACAGGGCCUCCUUCUCAGGAACACAGGCCUUUCUUUCAUUCAUUCAAUAAGGACUGAUUGAGCACCAACUAUGCAAGAGGCACUGUUUUAGACACUUGGGGUAUAAUAGUGGACAAAAGAGACAAUGAUCCCCACUCUCAGGGAGCUUACAUUCUAGUAGGGAGAAGCAGGCAAUGAAUAAUGAACAACAAAUAAAGUAUAGAGUAUGUUAAAAAGUGAUAAAUGUUAUGAAAAAAUAAAGAAGAGAAGGGAGGUAAGGAGUGCCAGGGUCGGGGGCAAUCACAUUUUUAAGAAGGAUGGUCAGAGAUGGCCUCACUGAGAAGCUGACAUUUGAGCAAAGAUUUAAAGGAGUUAAGGAAGCCAGCUAUGCAGAUAAAUGGUAGAAGAGCAGAACAGCCAAUGCAAAGGCAAGAGUGUCUGAAGAAUAGCAGAGCAGUGUGGCUGGAGGAGAGUGACUGAUGGGGAGAGGAGGAAAGAUAUCGGAGAGGUGAUCAGAGACUAGACGGUUUAAGGCCAUUUAAGCUAUUAUAAGGACUUUGGGUUUUAUUCUGAGUGAACAGUGAGCGAUUGGAGGACUCUGAGUAGAAUGGUGAUAUGAUGAGACUUAGAUUUUUAAAGGAUCAUUCUGUUGUUAAGAUUUAGGAUAAAUUGAAGAAUAGGAGAAAAGCAGGGGUACUGUUACUAGGCUACUGUAGCAGUCCAGGAAGAGGGUGAGGGUGGCUUGGACCAAGGUAAUCGAAGUAGAGGUGGUGAAAAAUGGAAAUACAGAAUAGCACAUAGUAACUAGUAUAUCCAGCAGAGUGAAGAUGCUGAGUUGUUGGGGUUUUUUAAAUCCCAGUUGAUGGCAUAACUAGAUUCCCUUUAUUUGUGGGUCCUUUCUAGGUGUAGUAAGAAAGAGUAUGGUGAUUGAUUAGUGAUGACUUCUAUGAAUGCGCUUCAAUGGUGCCACUAUUCACUGUCCUUGACUAAAGCUUCAGGCUGGAUUCUGCAUGGAAUUUCUCAAGUUCUCAGGAAUCUGUAUAAUUUCCAAUGUGUUUCAUAUAUGAUAAUUUUUCAAUGCACUGGGAUGAUAUUGAAAUAACUGUUUAGGCAAAAAAAAAAAAAAGAUGUAGGAACAAAAGAUUCAGCAAGGAAAAUUUUGCCUAUAUGGGACUACCUUGCAAAGAAUUUUAAAAGACCCUCUCUCAGAGAUUUUUUUGAAAGGAGAAAAAAAAGCUGAGUUUUUUACUUUACAGACCAGUGAAAAAAAUUCCUAAGGAGUUCUCUGAGGUAUAAAAAUCAGGAGACUUUAAGAGGUAGAGAGAGGAGGCUCAUGAUGGUUAUACGUUAAUGUAGGAAGAAAAGUUGCUCUUUGAUGAGUCCACAGGUCUGUGUAUGAGGCUUAAAAUAAGUCUCAUUUUCAUGGGUCAGGAAAGAGCCUUCAUGUAUAGAUUCAAUACAGGGUCUAGAGAACAUGAGUCAUGCUAGGUUCACAGUCCUUAAUCAGCCAGCUUUCUUUCUGGUUAGCACCAGUUGCGGUGAAAGCCAGAAUUCAGUUUUGAUCAUGCC
ensembl:lncRNA